CAGACUAAUAUUUUGCAUUUUAGGUAAAAUUCUGAAUCUAAGCCACAACAGAGAUCAGACAAAUCAGCACCAAAACUUCCCCCAUCCCGGCUGUGAAGUGUCCUCCACUCCUUAUAAGCUCAGAACUACAGGACUCAGUUGCCACCAAGAUUGUGUCUGAAAUUGUUACCACUGCAGAGCUUCUGAUCUCAUCCACCAGCCCGGGACCUUCCACCAUUCCAGCUUGGCCUCCCGGAGUCCUGCAGGGGCACCGAGAUCAAACUGCCCCAGGCUUUGUGAAAGAAAGCCUUCGAGGUUCCUGGUUCUGUUUAUUAUUAAUGCUGUAGUUGUUGCUGUUUGUUUGCCUUGUUAUGCAUACCAGUAAAGAACUG